AAUCAGAUGAUGCUAAACCAAGUUAUUCCUGAGAUUUUCUUUGAGGAAUCACAAAUCGAGCUUUUUAAAACUGAUGAUUA